rnacentral:rRNA from 1 species
UACGUAGGGUGCAAGCGUUAAUCGGAAUUACUGGGCGUAAAGCGUGCGCAGGCGGUUUUGUAAGUCUGAUGUGAAAUCCCCGGGCUCAACCUGGGAAUUGCGAUGGAGACUGCAAGGCUUGAAUCUGGCAGAGGGGGGUAGAAUUCCACGUGUAGCAGUGAAAUGCGUAGAGAUGUGGAGGAACACCGAUGGCGAAGGCAGCCCCGGGGUCAAGAUUGACGCUCAUGCACGAAAGCGUGGGGAGCAAACAGG